GUCAGUAUAAAAAUUUGUGACAUAUACACUGGCGCCACUAAAAAUUAAUAACUUUUAGCAACAUGUUACUUCGUUGCUGAAAGUGCAAAAAAUUCAAGUGAAAAAUUUUGGCCUAAUUUCUCCCACUCAAUUUUCCUCCUUGUUUUGCAUCUUUCCUCCAUGUUUUAGUUUCCCCCUACAUGCUUUCCCUUCCCCUUUUUCACAAUUUUCAUUUCCGCAAAUUUCCUCCAAUCUUUCCCAUUUGUUCGGUUUCCCUCCCCUCUUUCCCCUUUCUUCGAUUUCCCAUUGAAUUUUCCCUCAUUUCUAUGGUCCGAUUUCUCGUCGCCACCACCGAAUCGACGGUUAUAGUUCACCUGAAAACACCGCGUUCCGACCACGAUUCUCUCCUCUGGCAUUCUUCUGGGUGGUUUCUUCUUUCAACGUCUGCAUGUUGGGGGCACCAUUGAAGACCAUUCUGAAGCUUCUUCUUCUUCUUCUUCAAUGGUGGUUGACAUUUGAAUUUGGAAGAUAGAUUUGAUACUGCUCGGUGAGGCUCUGAUUUCACAAACUCCCAACAUUUAUUUGGAUUAUUCGAUUCCAAGAUCGAAGCAACGAGAUACGUUAAUGAGUGCUUUGUUGUGUUUGUUGAUCUGUUUUGAUUACCUGAUUAUAAACUUCAACUUGUAAGUACUACUUGUUUUAGCGCUUAUGAUAAAAUUGCAAUCAAGUGUAAUGACAAAGCAGAUGUUACAAACUUUGAUCCCAGCAUAUAUGAGGAUGAGCUGAGUACAACUGGUAAUUUUGUUGCAACUUUUUGGUGGGUAUUCUCUUCCUUUCCUUAUCAUAAAUUACUUGUGUAAUAUUAUGAUCAUUUUGUGACAUUCUUUGGUUACUAAGUAUGAGCAAGGAAUCCAUCCUUUCCAUUCUAUCUUUAGUACUGCUUGUACUUUAAAUAAAACAAGUUAAGAAAAUACCCUUUUCGUCCUUAUAUUUUGAGUCUAAUUUUUAUUUGUUCCUUAUGUUUUAAACCAUAAUAUUUUUACCUUCGAACUUUGAGAUUUAAUUUCCUUUUGAUCCAUAAAUUUAAGAAUGUGUUACAUUUUUACUCUUAUUCCCAGCAACAAAGUAUCAUUAGUUAGUUCAUAGAUAAUUUUUAGUUUAGAUUUGAAGGAUAUAAAUUUCACAACUUAUUAAGGUUGGAUCGUUUCAAUGAAAUAAAAAAAAAAAAAAAUUAAUGUUAAAAGUAACUCAAUAAGGUAGAUGAAGCUUCAAAGAACAAUUUCCAAGCAUCUAAGGGGUUAGUUAUUCAUUAUCUCUUUAUGGUAGUCAUAAAUUUGUUAUUGAUUAGUUUAGUUUUUGGGUUGUUAAAUUAUUCAUGGCUUCUAUUGAUAAGAUUAGUUGCUAGGGUUUAUCGAAAAUGAGAGCUGUUGUUAUGUUAAUGUUUUUGGGUAUGCUAUUUUCUUCUAGGUUACUCCUAGUAUAGAUAUGCAGUGGAAUCAAAUUGACUUUGAAAGAUACAAGAUCAUUUUGAAAGCUGUUGUUAUGUUAAUUAACUUCUUUAUUCACUUGGUGUGGCUUACAAAUUUUGUUAUUUUGAACCAUCACACUAGCUUUGAACUCAUUCAGACUCGCUUCAGCAAAGAACUAAGCUCUUUUGGGUAAGAUUUUGGUGGUUCGAACUAGUUUUGGACUCCUUCGUACUCAUUUCAGCGAAUAAGGAACUUUCUUUUUUUUUUUUUUUGUACAAUUUAGGAAAUUUUGCAAUUGUUUUGGGAGAAAAUAAGUAGAGUUCAAACAAGCAAGAUGUGUUCCCUUUAAAAGGAGAAGUUCUGAUUGCAUAUCAAGCCACGACAUGUCCACUCUCCCUUGGAUCGUGGCCACGAUGGUAUUGUACUCUUCAUCAAGUCCUAGUAGUACUUGUGAAACAAGAGCUCUUGGUGGCACAGGGCUACCAGCUUGCUCGAGAUUGUUUGCAUUCAUUUUCAUAGUUCGAAGGUACUCUUCCAGUUUUAAAUUACCUUUCCUGGUUUUUUGAAACACAUAUCUCAGAUAAUCUUCUUCAGCCCUGGACUGAACACCAAAGAGUUGUUGAAUGUUGGUCCACAUAUCCCUUGUACAUUCACAUCCCAUCACUUAAAUGGAAACCUCUGAUGUCAAGGAGUUAUACAGUUAGCCAAGGAGGAGUUGAUCUAUAGCCAUCCACACUUCGUAUUGAGGAUUUACCUCAAGUGCUGUCGACGAGCUGGAAGCACCAUUGCCGGAGCUUCCUUCUGCGCUGCACGAAGCAGCUUCUGCUCCAGUCGAUCCAGUCAAUAUACUCUCACCGAUUGCAGGUUGCAGAAACAUUGGGGAGCAAACCUUUUGUCCGAUCAGGUGUCCUUCAAGUCGUAACUCUGAAGGAUUGGAAGCGCCAAGUUUUUUCAUAGGAGGAAAUUGUUGCGAUCAAGUUUAAUGGAGGUUAUCUGAUUGAGGAGUUGGUUCAAGGAUGGGUCGUUGAAGUAGGCUGUGCCAAGGGUGGCUCCCAGGUUUUCCUUGAUUGAUGUUGGUCAUUAUUAGCUCUGAUACCAAGUUAAAGUGUGAGGUUGAAGGAUACGGCAGACUCACGUGGCAAGUCGAAGUGCUCGUUGUCAUUUGAAGAGGUAUACGACUGGACAGUAAAAGAUAGUGCUGGAGAGGUAGACGAUAAUGUCAACAGGUACACGAUAGUGUCAAGAGGCGGACAUUAGCACUUAGACAAGGUAAACGAUAGCGUCAAGAGAUAGACGAUAGCGUUUGGUAAAGGUAGACGAUGACGUCUGAAGGAGGUAGAUGAUAACGUCAAGAGAUAGACGAUAUCGUAUAGACGAUAGCAUCAGGAGGUAGACGACAGAUGAUAUCAUGUAGACGAUAGCGUCAGAAGGUAGACGACAGAUGAUAUCGUGUAGAUGAUAGCGUCAGGAGGUAGACGAUAGUAUCAGAAAAGGUAAACGAUAGUUUCAAUCAGGCAGACGAUAACUCGGACGGUACACGAUAGUGGCAAGCCAACUUUUUCUUUAUAAUUUCUUGUAUCUUGAAAUGUACAUAGGUGAUAUAUUUAUACAAUAUGAAAUCCCUAAUUUGGGAAUGCAAGAAUAACUCAACAAAACAAAUGGUUAGACACUUUGUUGUAACAAUCAUAUUCCUUUAGUAAAACC